GAUGAAAUCACCGACCGAUGGAU
rnacentral:siRNA from 1 species